rnacentral:tRNA from 1 species
GCGAAUAUAGAUAAAUUGGUAGAUUCAUUAGUUUUCCAAACUAAAAGUUGCGGGUUCGAGUCCCGCUAUUCGCU